rnacentral:tRNA from 1 species
UGGGCAGUCGUCAAGCGGUAAGACACAAGGUUUUGGUCCUUGCAUUCGGGGGUUCGAAUCCUCCCUGCCCAGCCA